AUUGAACGCUGGCGGCAUGCCUUACACAUGCAAGUCGAACGGCAGCACGGGAGCUUGCUCCUGGUGGCGAGUGGCGAACGGGUGAGUAAUACAUCGGAACGUGCCCAAUCGUGGGGGGAUAACGUAGCGAAAGUUACGCUAAUACCGCAUACGAUCUACGGAUGAAAGCGGGGGAUCGCAAGACCUCGCGCGAAUGGAGCGGCCGAUGUCAGAUUAGGUAGUUGGUGGGGUAAAAGGCUCACCAAGCCAACGAUCUGUAGCUGGUCUGAGAGGACGACCAGCCACACUGGAACGUGAGACACGGUCCAGACUCCUACGGAGGCAGCAGUGGGGAAUUUUGGACAAUGGGCGCAAGCCUGAUCCAGCCAUUCCGCGUGCAGGAUGAAGGCCUUACGGGUUGGUAAACUGCUUUCGGACGG
rnacentral:rRNA from 1 species